rnacentral:misc_RNA from 1 species
UCUCCGUUGGUGAACCAGCGGAGGGAUCAUUACUGGAAUCGCAAGAUCCCACAGCCCCUGUGAACCUACCGAAACGUUGCCUCGGCGGGCGCCCGGCCCCGCGCCGGGCGCUGAGCCCGCCGGCGGCCCCCUACUCUUGUCUCUGCAGCGUGGCAUCUCAGAGUCCCGGAAAACAAGUAAAAACUUUCAACAACGGAUCUCUUGGCUCUA